rnacentral:rRNA from 1 species
GACGAACGCUGGCGGCGUGCUUAACACAUGCAAGUCGAACGGAAAGGCCCUGCUUUUGUGGGGUGCUCGAGUGGCGAACGGGUGAGUAACACGUGAGUAACCUGCCCUUGACUUUGGGAUAGCUUCAGGAAACUGGGGCUAAUACCGGAUAGGAGCUCCUGCUGCAUGGUGGGGGUUGGAAAGUUUCGGCGGUUGGGGAUGGACUCGCGGCUUAUCAGCUUGUUGGUGGGGUAGUGGCUUACCAAGGCUUUGACGGGUAGCCGGCCUGAGAGGGUGACCGGCCACAUUGGGACUGAGAUACGGCCCAGACUCCUACGGGAGGCAGCAGUGGGGAAUAUUGCACAAUGGGCGGAAGCCUGAUGCAGCAACGCCGCGUGCGGGAUGACGGCCUUCGGGUUGUAAACCGCUUUCGCCUGUGACGAAGCGUGAGUGACGGUAAUGGGUAAAGAAGCACCGGCUAACUACGUGCCAGCAGCCGCGGUGAUACGUAGGGUGCGAGCGUUGUCCGGAUUUAUUGGGCGUAAAGGGCUCGUAGGUGGUUGAUCGCGUCGGAAGUGUAAUCUUGGGGCUUAACCCUGAGCGUGCUUUCGAUACGGGUUGACUUGAGGAAGGUAGGGGAGAAUGGAAUUCCUGGUGGAGCGGUGGAAUGCGCAGAUAUCAGGAGGAACACCAGUGGCGAAGGCGGUUCUCUGGGCCUUUCCUGACGCUGAGGAGCGAAAGCGUGGGGAGCGAACAGGCUUAGAUACCCUGGUAGUCCACGCUGUAAACGGUGGGUACUAGGUGUGGGGUCCAUUCCACGGGUUCCGUGCCGUAGCUAACGCUUUAAGUACCCCGCCUGGGGAGUACGGCCGCAAGGCUAAAACUCAAAGGAAUUGACGGGGCCCCGCACAAGCGGCGGAGCAUGCGGAUUAAUUCGAUGCAACGCGUAGAACCUUACCUGGGUUUGACAUGGAUCGGGAGCGCUCAGAGAUGGGUGUGCCUCUUUUGGGGUCGGUUCACAGGUGGUGCAUGGCUGUCGUCAGCUCGUGUCGUGAGAUGUUGGGUUAAGUCCCGCAACGAGCGCAACCCUUGUUCACUGUUGCCAGCACGUUAUGGUGGGGACUCAGUGGAGACCGCCGGGGUCAACUCGGAGGAAGGUGGGGAUGACGUCAAGUCAUCAUGCCCCUUAUGUCCAGGGCUUCACGCAUGCUACAAUGGCUGGUACAGAGAGUGGCGAGCCUGUGAGGGUGAGCGAAUCUCGGAAAGCCGGUCUCAGUUCGGAUUGGGGUCUGCAACUCGACCUCAUGAAGUCGGAGUCGCUAGUAAUCGCAGAUCAGCAACGCUGCGGUGAAUACGUUCCCGGGGCU